rnacentral:rRNA from 1 species
UACGUAGGGUGCAAGCGUUAAUCGGAAUUACUGGGCGUAAAGCGUGCGCAGGCGGUUUCGUAAGCUUGAUGUGAAAUCCCCGGGCUCAACCUGGGAACUGCAUUGAGGACUGCGAGGCUAGAAUACGGCAGAGGGGGGUGGAAUUCCACGUGUAGCAGUGAAAUGCGUAGAGAUGUGGAGGAACACCGAUGGCGAAGGCAGCCCCUC